GGAAGACUAGUGAUUUUGUUG
rnacentral:miRNA from 1 species